GAAAGGAUGGCAUAUCAGGUAGGGUGGCAGUGUUUGGUCUACAUCAUGUAGUUUUUUUUCCUGUAUAUCAGCUGGAGAUUGUGCUCUGACAGAUCAAUGGACCGGUGAGUGAGGCUAUGUUCAGCUAUUGUUAUGUUAUUGCCGUUUCGAUGUGCUUCCUUGUGUCUUAUAUUUUAUUUUUGUGUAUUGCAGAAUACUUUUCAAGGGUGAAGAAGGUUGCA
rnacentral:lncRNA from 1 species